UACAGAGGUCUCAAGCGUUGUUCGGAUUCAUUGGGCGUAAAGGGCGCGUAGGCGGCCAGGUAGGUCUGCUGUGAAAACUCGAGGCUCAACCUCGAGACGUCGGCGGAAACCAUCUGGCUAGAGUCCGGAAGAGGAGAGUGGAAUUCCCGGUGUAGCGGUGAAAUGCGCAGAUAUCGGGAAGAACACCCGUGGCUAAGGCGGCUCUCUAGUACGGUACUGACGCUGAGACGCGAAAGCGUGGGGAGCGAACAGG
rnacentral:rRNA from 1 species